AAUAAUCAGGAUCGUUAUCAGGCUCCUGAUGAGCUUGCUUAUGAGUUGAUCGUUUAAUCAGGUCUGUUUCAGCAGGGUGACACGGAAAACAUGGGGGAAAGUGGCCCUCAAGGACCUGAGUUUGACACCUAUGCGACACUGUCUAUGCACUGGAUUUAUGAAGCCCACGAGGACAAGUCCUGCCUAGGAAACCUCAUUAUCCUCGGCGAAUACUUCCUGGAGGACUUUGCUAAUCAGGAAAUGCCACAAGUUCCCCUCCCUGCCGUCUCACCACAAAGAGGAGAAAAGAUGCAAAGAUGAAGUUCUAUCUCUUUUAACCACCUGUUUCCCCUCCCCUGUUCUCAACCUUGCAGCAUCUGCAGAGAAUCGGAGUAUACAAUAAAUCCGUCGUCGGGCACUUACCGUAUAAUGGUCGGAAAUGCAUUUCUACAGACAGCCACCUUGAGGCGCAUUUGUUGAGCGCAGCACCUCUCAUCUCUCGUUACAUAGCCCUGUUUCGCCAGCCUGACGCAUACGUGCGGAACGGCCGCACUUGUGGACUGAAGCGGUAUUUCUGUCCCAUAGGGGACAGCUGAUGAACGAAUACGAUGUCAGCACAUAUGUCACCUCCUCAUCCACUCAAUCACCCCUUCAAAGACAAACGACCUCUGUAAAAAAA